rnacentral:rRNA from 1 species
CCUACGGGUGGCAGCAGUGAGGAAUAUUGGUCAAUGGGCGUAAGCCUGAACCAGCCAAGUCGCGUGAGGGAUGAAGGUUCUAUGGAUCGUAAACCUCUUUUAUCAGGGAAUAAAGUGUGGGACGUGUCCUGUUUUGUAUGUACCUUAUGAAUAAGGCUCGGCUAACUCCGUGCCAGCAGCCGCGGGAAUACGGGGGAUCCGAGCGGUAUCCGGAUUUAUUGGGUUUAAAGGGUUCGUAGGCGGCCAUUUAAGUUAGCGGUGAAAGUCUGUGGCUCAACCAUAGAAGUGCCGUUGAAACUGGUAGGCUUGAGUAUGUUUGAGGCAGGCGGAAUGCGUGGUGUAGCGGUGAAAUGCAUAGAUAUCACGCAGAACCCCGAUUGCGAAGGCAGCCUGCCAGGCCAUGACUGACGCUGAUGCACGAAAGCGUGGGGAUCAAACAGGAUUAGAUACCCCGGUAGUC